rnacentral:rRNA from 1 species
GAUGAACGCUGGCGGCGUGCCUAAUACAUGCAAGUCGAGCGAACAGACGAGGAGCUUGCUCCUCUGACGUUAGCGGCGGACGGGUGAGUAACACGUGGAUAACCUACCUAUAAGACUGGGAUAACUUCGGGAAACCGGAGCUAAUACCGGAUAACAUGUUGAACCGCAUGGUUCAACAGUGAAAGACGGUCUUGCUGUCACUUAUAGAUGGAUCCGCGCCGCAUUAGCUAGUGGGUAAGGUAAAGGCUUACCAAGGCAACGAUGCGUAGCCGACCUGAGAGGGUGAUCGGCCACACUGGAACUGAGACACGGUCCAGACUCCUACGGGAGGCAGCAGUAGGGAAUCUUCCGCAAUGGGCGAAAGCCUGACGGAGCAACGCCGCGUGAGUGAAGAAGGUCUUCGGAUCGUAAAACUCUGUUAUUAGGGAAGAACAAAUGUGUAAGUAACUAUGCACGUCUUGACGGUACCUAAUCAGAAAGCCACGGCUAACUACGUG